GACGAACGCUGGCGGCGUGCUUAACACAUGCAAGUCGAACGGAAAGGCCCUGCUUUUGUGGGGUGCUCGAGUGGCGAACGGGUGAGUAACACGUGAGUAACCUGCCCUUGACUUUGGGAUAACUUCAGGAAACUGGGGCUAAUACCGGAUAGGAGCUCCUGCUGCAUGGUGGGGGUUGGAAAGUUUCGGCGGUUGGGGAUGGACUCGCGGCUUAUCAGCUUGUUGGUGGGGUAGUGGCUUACCAAGGCUUUGACGGGUAGCCGGCCUGAGAGGGUGACCGGCCACAUUGGGAAUGAGAUACGGCCCAGACUCCUACGGGAGGCAGCAGUGGGGAAUAUUGCAAAAUGGGCGGAAGCCUGAUGCAGCAACGCCGCGUGCGGGAUGACGGCCUUCGGGUUGUAAACCGCUUUCGCCUGUGACGAAGCGUGAGUGACGGUAAUGGGUAAAGAAGCACCGGCUAACUACGUG
rnacentral:rRNA from 1 species